ACGAACGCUGGCGGCGUGCCUAAUACAUGCAAGUCGAACGAACCGCGACUAGGUGCUUGCACUUGGUCAAGGUGAGUGGCGAACGGGUGAGUAACACGUGGGUAACCUACCUCAUAGUGGGGGAUAACAGUCGGAAACGACUGCUAAUACCGCAUAGGACAUAGGAUCACAUGAUCCAGUGAGGAAAGGUGGCGCAAGCUAUCGCUAAGAGAUGGACCCGCGGUGCAUUAGCUAGUUGGUAGGGUAAAGGCCUACCAAGGCGAUGAUGCAUAGCCGACCUGAGAGGGUGAUCGGCCACAUUGGGACUGAGACACGGCCCAAACUCCUACGGGAGGCAGCAGUAGGGAAUCUUCCGCAAAGGACGCAAGUCUGACGGAGCAACGCCGCGUGAGUGAAGGAGGUCUUCGGAUCGUAAAGCUCUGUUGUUAGAGAAGAACAGCGCAUAGAGUAACUGUUAUGCGUGUGACGGUAUCUAACCAGAAAGCCACGGCUAACUACGUG
rnacentral:rRNA from 1 species